rnacentral:rRNA from 1 species
AUCUACAGCCAUAGGAAGAGGAGCACAGGGUAUCCCGUCCGCUCUGCCUUACUUAAGCCUCUUACUGUCAGAGUAGUACUGGAAUCGGUGACGGUCCGGGAAUUUCGGAUGCUGUAGAUC